rnacentral:rRNA from 1 species
UACGGAGGGUGCAAACGUUGCUCGGAAUCAUUGGGCGUAAAGCGCACGUAGGCGGUCCGGUAAGUCGGGUGUGAAAGCCCUCGGCUCAACCGAGGAAGUGCAUUCGAAACUACCGGACUUGAGUAUGGAAGAGGGUCGCGGAAUUCCCGGUGUAGAGGUGAAAUUCGUAGAUAUCGGGAGGAACACCAGUGGCGAAGGCGGCGACCUGGGCCAAUACUGACGCUGAGGUGCGAAAGCGUGGGGAGCAAACAGG